rnacentral:rRNA from 1 species
CCUACGGGAGGCAGCAGUCGAGAAUCAUUCACAAUGGGGGAAACCCUGAUGGUGCGACGCCGCGUGGGGGAAUGAAGGUCUUCGGAUUGUAAACCCCUGUCAUGUGGGAGCAAAUUAAAAAGAUAGUACCACAAGAGGAAGAGACGGCUAACUCUGUGCCAGCAGCCGCGGUAAUACAGAGGUCUCAAGCGUUGUUCGGAAUCACUGGGCGUAAAGCGUGCGUAGGCUGUUUCGUAAGUCGUGUGUGAAAGGCGCGGGCUCAACCCGCGGACGGCACAUGAUACUGCGAGACUAGAGUAAUGGAGGGGGAACCGGAAUUCGCGGUGUAGCAGUGAAAUGCGUAGAUAUCGAGAGGAACACUCGUGGCGAAGGCGGGUUGCUGGACAUCAACUGACGCUGAGGCACGAAGGCCAGGGGAGCGAAAGGGAUUAGAUACCCCGGUAGUC